rnacentral:rRNA from 1 species
UCGAGAAUCUUCCGCAAUGGGCGAAAGCCUGACGGAGCGACGCCGCGUGCGGGAUGAAGGCCCUUGGGUUGUAAACCGCUGUCAGGGGGGAUGAAAGCGCAAGCUUGACAGAGCCCCAGAGGAAGCACGGGCUAAGUUCGUGCCAGCAGCCGCGGUAAGACGAACUGUGCGAACGUUAUUCGGAAUCACUGGGCUUACAGGGUGCGUAGGCGGCUUGAAAAGUAGGGUGUGAAAUCCCCCGGCCCAACCGGGGAACUGCGCCCUAAACUAUCAGGCUUGAGUAAGCUAGGGGUGCACGGAACUUCCAGUGGAGCGGUGAAAUGUGUUGAUAUUGGAAGGAACACCGGAGGCGAAAGCGGUGCACUGGGGCUUAACUGACGCUGAGGCACGAAAGCCAGGGGAGCGAACGGGAUUAGAUACCCCCGUAGUCC